rnacentral:lncRNA from 1 species
GCCCCCUCAAAUGACAUCGAAACUAAAUUCAUCUUAACUAAAUUGAUCUCUCUGAUUUCAUUACAACUGCAUCGAACAUUCUUAUGAUGUUCCAAUUUUGCCUUUUGUACAUACAUUUUUGUUGUCCCUUAUUUUUUAUUUUCCUGAAUUUCAUGAAUGAUCAUUCGAUUUAUAUGUGUUUAUAUCUUGCAUCAUGUUUUACAAAGCAGUCCUAUUU